rnacentral:rRNA from 1 species
GACGAACGCUGGCGGCGUGCUUAACACAUGCAAGUCGAACGGAAAGGCCCUGCUUGCAUGGUCCUCGAGUGGCGAACGGGUGAGUAACACGUGGGUGAUCUGCCCUGCACUUCGGGAUAAGCCUGGGAAACUGGGUCUAAUACCUGAUAGCAGCCAUUUUUAGUGUGAUGGUUGGAAGGUUUUUUCGGGGUUGGAUGAUCUGGCGGCCUAUCGGCUUGUUGGGGGGGUAAUGGCCUACCAAGGCGGCGAGGGGUAGCCGGCCAGAGAGUGUGGACGGCCACACUGGGACUGAGAGAAGGCCCAGACGGCGAAGGGAGGCAGAAGGGGGGAAGAUUGCACAAUGGGCGCAAGGCUGAUGAAGAGAGGCUGCGUGGGGGAUGACGGCCUUCGGGUGGAAAAAUACUUUCGGUAGGGACGAAGCUUGUUGUGACGGUACCUAGAUAAGAAGCACCGGCUAACUACGUG